rnacentral:rRNA from 1 species
UGGUGGAGUGAUUUGUCUGGUUAAUUCCGUUAACGAACGAGACCUCGACCUGCUAAAUAGUUCUUGUCAUCUUCCGAUGGCAGGAUACUUCUUAGAGGGACUAUCGGUGGUUAGCCGAUGGAAGUUCGAGGCAAUAACA